UGAAUUCAUUUGUGUUCUUUAUAGAUGUGCUCGGAGAUUUUUAGAAAGCAGAGGUUGAUUCCAUUAUUGUGGGGUGUUCCAUGUUGGUUAGGUUAUAGAUGCUCUCGACGAAGGUUUAAAGAGCGAAUAGCUUGUCCAUCAGGUGUGAACAAGUGUAUUUUGUCAAGCCGGGGAAUUAUAGCAUAGCUGAUAACUGCCAUGAUUUGCUAUGGGACCAAGAAAUGAGCAGUACUGUCGCCAAUACUCUAAACCCAGUUUGUGGAUUAGGAUUCAGGUAAAGCUAAGAACAGAUGUUCUAAAGCGGAAGAGUCUGCUUUUAUUUCCAUUCGAGGAGAUAUGAAGGGCCAGCAAAAGUCGUCAAACCAUUUGCUUACAUUUGCUUAUGUUUCUCUUCAUGACGAGUUCCUCGGAAGAGAAGAUUUUCCUCCGGUGGCCAGAUUUUUUUUUUCUCCGCCUUAAAUUUUCUUUGAAUUGAUGCACAGUCUUAUUCAGUUAUUUGGGUAGCUUAGCAAACUCAGAGGCCCAAAAGAAAAGGGUCAGAAUCCUAAUUCUGUAUGGAAAGGGCACCCUCGCAAUAGGGUUUAGACUCAAAGGAUAAUUGGCUAUUACUUGUGAAUUUUUUAUUGUGAUUGUGGUGUAAAACAUUUUUUUAAAUAGUAUUUUAUUUGAAAAUUUAUUAAAAUA